AUUUGCAUUUACCUCAUUUAUACUUGAAAAAUAAAUUAGACUCUUAAUACAUACAUGUCAUAUAAUUCCAAACAUGAAAAACAAUCACUUUUUUUUUUUUUUGAGACAGAGUUUUGCUCUUGUCACCCAGGUUGGAGUACAGUGGCACAAUCUUGGCUCACUGCAACCUCUACUUCCCGGGUUCAAGCGAUUCUCCUGCCUCAGCCUCCUGAGUAGCUGGGAUUAAAGGCAUCUGCCACCACAGCCGGCUAAUUUUUGUAUUUUUGGUAGAGAUGGGGUUUCACCAUGUUGGCCAGGCUGGUCUCGAACUCCUGACCUCAGGUGAUCCCACCCAUCUCAGCCACCCAAAUUGUUGGGAUUACAGGCGUGAGCCACCAGACCUGGCCAACAAUCACCAUUUUAAAAUUCAUAUAAAUUUAGGUAAAAUUAAAAGAUAUGGAAAUUUAAGUCUCAAAUUGUAAUGCACUUUAUAAUUCUUUCAACAUAGAUCCUAUUUUCUAUAAUUUUUUUUAAAAUUCCUUAAACAAUUUUGUGAGAUCACGUACCCACCAAUGCCUAGAAUAAGAAUAUGUCAAGACUUGCAAAAGUUUGCUGAAUUGGAAAAAGAGGUUCGCAAAAAAAUGUUAAUAAAGUUGUUGAAAAAUAGUAAAAUCAAUUCCAUCCUCUAAUUGACAACUAUUGUAAAAUUGGAAGUAUGUUUGAUCUUUUCUUAAAAGUUCCUCUAACAGAUAAGGUUUUAAGACAUUCAAAAUAUGUUCAUUUGGAAUUUCCCCCUCUGAGAAAGAUUCUGGCCCAGAUCUCAUGUCUUAGGGAUGGGGAGUAACACUGAAAGCUCAGAAGGGGCUGGACACGGUGGCUCAACCUGUAAUCCCAGCACUUUGGGAGGCCGAGGUGGGAGGAUCACUUGAGGCCAGGAGUUUGAGACCAGCCUGACCAACAUAUCGAAACCCUGUCUCUUCUAAAAAUGCCAAAUAUUAGCCGGGCAUGGUGGUGCACACCUGUAAUCCCAGCUACUUAGGAGGCUGAGGCAUGAGAAUCGCUUGAACCCAGGAGGCAGAGGUUGCAGUGAGCCAAGAUUGUGCCACUGCACUCCAGCGUGGGUGACACAGCAAGACUCCAACUCAAAAAAAAAAAAAGGUCAGAAGGGCCCACCCAAGGUAAGUUCUCCACCAGGCCCAGCCAACCCCAAGCAGGCUGCUCAGUAAGAGGGAAGAAGGAACCAGCACAUCGCCUGGCUCCUUAAUCACCCACCCAGUGCGAUUCACACUGAUUUGUUAUACCUUGGGCACAUAGCAUCCUUCAACUGACUGCUAUCCUGUUCCUGCCAAAAAUAAGGCUGCAGAAACCGAUAAAGAGAAACCACCAGGCACAAACUCAAUAUUCUAUUCUCUCUCCUUUCUAAACACAUAAAACCAAUGAAAAGUAGGACACCUAAACUGUAAAGGUUCAGCUCCCCAGGGAAAUACCACCACUGAGCUGUGGUUUGAUAUUAUGCUUUCACUUUUAUAAACAGCCAAUGUAUAGUGCAGCCUCAUGAAGAACAUGUCCCCAUUUCUGGGGAAAAAAAAAUAUUGAAGGAGGUAUUGUCCCUAUGAUUCUCUAAGAUCGAAUAGAUAUCUCCUUUUGGGGGAGGUAGGAAGACAGAGGCCACCCUUUCCCAAUGAGCUAGUGUGCACCUUAGACUGGACAAUGGUAACAUAUGAUACAUUUCACUCCCUUUUUGCUUUGACCUCCAGAAAAUUCAGCUACAAAUUUAGUAGUUACCUGCAAAAACUCUCUCAUUUCAGGUACAUGUUAUAAUUACCUUAGUAAACAUAUAUCAUCCAAUAAAUUCUAGACCAUGUGUAAGUUCAGACAGGCUCAGUUGGGGCAUGGAGCACCUGUUAGAGCUGUUUUCUUCUUCAUCUCUUCUCUAGAAAGAUGCCUUUAAAUUCUAAUAGUCGACUCAUUAUCUAAAGGACUAUCCACCUACCCACUCCAUCUCAGCACAGUUCAAUUUUCUGUGACCUAGACUUACUCUCUUCCAACUAUAUUUUAACAAAAUUAAAGAUGUAGAAACUUGCUUCUGGUUUAGAAACAAAAAUGACUGGAACAUUUUGCUUUAGACCUCUCCAGAGCAGGUGGCAGAACAGGGUGGGGCUGGAUGUCAUCCAACAAGCGUUGGAAGGCUGAACAGCUCUACAAAAAGCUACGCUCAGAAUGCAAGCUCAACAGCCACAGCCUAUGCGACUUUAGGUAAAAUGGAAGCAGAGCCACUUCUAUAAUCUUCAAUAAUGGCACAAAGAAAAUAAAUCUGCCUUACUCAAUAAAGAGUCAUUUCCAAACAGCAAGAAAUUACAGCCUCAAUGCCAACUUAAUCUAUGACAAAAUGGUAUGAUCAAAGUUAUUGAAAUAACUGAAACAUAAAUUAAGAUAUGUUAUAUCCUAUCCUAAUAAAAGCACACUGGAGAUUUUUCUUUCCAUUUUAGCUAAUCAGAAAAAACAAACCAUCAGCUUGUAGAAGGCUAUCAUAACAGGAAAAUGUCAGCAACAAGGCACAGUGACAUCACUCUGUUCUACUAAAUCAAUACCUGCAGGAUAAAAGUUGUUUGUCUUGUCAAACUUUUUUUUUUAAUCAAGAUUAAAGUUACUUUGAAAGUCAAAUCUCAUUUAAAAAGUUGGAAAAAUAUUUCAGUAUUUUGCUGAAAUAUGCUUCCCUGUGGCAUGAGGCGAAAAGGCAAAGGACCUCGGUGACAUGUUGACCUCUCCCUCUGCCCGCUGCACCAGCUGAGCAACCCAGGGCCAUUCAUGUCUCUGAAUUCAGGCUCCUUGUCUGCAGAGGAAGCUUAACACCCACCACUCAGGAGAGGGAAGAGGUGCACGUGACAACAAAGGUGCAAGUACUUUAUAAACUGUAAAGCACUGUUCAAAUAUGAGGACUGUAUCAGACGCCUGCCCUAGGCUCUCUCAUGGCUUCAGCUCUUCCUUUCUGUUUAUAGAGUUGAGUUUGUGAAUAAGAAAUCUGCUCUCACUCUGUGGUCUAAAAAUGUUCGGUGGCUUCUCAUUGCAUACCAGUUAGUGUAACGUACAAGUUCCUUUUACUGUAGGCGCCUACCUUGCAGCAACCCUCUUCCCUUCCCCUACCAUGGUUUCUGGCCAGCCACUCUGUACUGCUUCGUGUGCCCAAAAAUGCCACAAUUUUGCCCAGUGGCUUGCCUUUGCACGUGCUCUUCUUUCUAGAAUCUAGAAUGCCCUUUUCCCACAUCUUUACAUAGAAAAUGCCUAUUUAUGCUUCAAUGCCCAGCUCAAGUGUCACCUUUUCCCUGAAUCCCUCUCCUUCUCUCUUCUCCUCUGUGCUCCCCAUGUUAUGUGGGCAAAUCUCUAUUACCAAUAAUGUCUGCACGAAGAUGAUGAAUUUAUACACAUCUGUAUCAGAGGCUAGACUAGCAGCUCUUGCAAGAACCUUUAUGUCAUUAGCACACUCAAUUUUUUUAAUCUUGAAAAAAUUAAAAUCUUAUCCAAUGAUCGCAGGGUCAAUGUUUUAGAACUCUUAAUCGUUCUUUACAAUUUAAAGUGAGGCAGUCAGAGAUCUUAGGACAUACAGAAAAUUUUUAUCUAGUCCUUUGAAAGAACAGGAAAUGCAUAAAAAUAGCCAGUAAACGAAAAUGUAAUUUACAUAAUCUUAGAAGGUCUUUUCCUAUAAAAAAAAAAAAGUGACAGAAAGAGUAGGGAUCUAUACAACAAACAACCACUGUUUGUGAAUGCCUAGCGGCAGAAUUUUUAUGAGUUUGUUUGAAGACAACACACACACACACACACACACACACACACACAAACACAGGCUCCUACAUUCCUAUACUCCCAUCUGCCACCUGCUGUGCUCAGGCUUCUGAAUGACUGACUAAACUGAAGACAUGUAUGUGUAUUAACAGGUAUUACAAAUGCAAAUUUCCACAGUAUUCUAGGCUGGAGAAUACCACACAGCAGUCUCUUUAUAAUUUGAUGGUGGUGUUAUAGAACAGAAAGAGUCCCUCUAAAGUUCCAACAGAGACUCAGAGAGGUUAAGUGAAUUACCCAAGGUCACACAGCUGCACGGUGGCAAUGCCAGGACACAAACAGAAGACUUCUGAUUUGAAGCCCAAUGUUUUGUUAACACUACACUGCCUCUUGUGAUAUGAAACAUCCCGUUAAAGGCAAAUUCACAGAAGAAAAUGUAAUUUCCUAAACAGAAAAUAUACCUCUACUGGUCCAUCUUGUUGGCCUUUAAAUGUCUGUGGUGCCUUGAAUUUUGUAGACAUUAAAAAGGACCACAAUUCACAGGAACUAAACAAAUGAUCACCAUCUAGCUGCUUAUACAAAUAGUGUUCAAAUGAGUGCUGUCUGUGUUCCUGAGAUACCCCAAACAGACAGCCAGGCUGUUGUUGAGGAGCUCACCCAAAGGGUGUAUGUGCAAGGCUGCAUGCAGCUGUCCAGGGGUUGUGUUUUUUGCUCAAGACCCAGUAGGAAUCCAGGAGGCUGAGAUCCAUACAGUUACCCAAUCCUGCACAUGGGCAAUCCAGGCCAACAGAGGUCCAGGGAGGACAGUGGCCAUGUCUGCCUGGCCUGAGAGCUAGCAACUACAGGUUCCACAGAUGUGGGGACAAAAGUUCUCUCCAGGAACAAGGGCAUCUGUGGACCUGUGCUGAGAAUCAUAGCUGAGAGAGGCAGCAGAAGGGAGAGGCCCAAGCACAGGUUCUAGUAUCGCGAAGAGGGACCAGAUGGCCUCAGAAGCACUCCCACUGCCAAAAUUUAGGAUCAAACAACAAACAGGGCUUUCAAAAGUCCUCUAAAAAGCUUUCAACUCAAAUCAAUUCAUUUUAAUGUUUUAAAAAUUCAUUUACUGUUAAAGAAGGAUAUCAUUCAAAAUGACGACUUUGUUUCCAGACAGACAUGCAGUAUCAUUGAGUUAAUUUACUUUACACCAAAAUAAAUGCCAAUGGGAUUUAAAAAGUAAAUGAAAAAGUGAAAUAACAAUAGAAUGAGAAGAAAAUAUAGAGAAUUUGUAUCUGAUGGGAUAUAAGUCUUUUCUAAGCCUAAAAGCAAAGAAAAGAAUAAUAAAUGGGAAAAUGUAAUUAAUGCACAGGAAAAAUAAAAGAAACUGACUUUUAGAACAAAAGGACAAAUAAAAAGCCAGGAAAUUAUUACUUGCAUGUAUGUCAAAGGGUUAAUAUCCUUCAUCUCUAAAGAACUCUUAGAAUUGAUAAGAGAAAGAGGAACACAUCUAUAGAGAAAAAUUGCAAAAGAAAUUUAAAACUGCAAUUCCCAAAAGAAGACCCAUGUCUUACAAGCAUAAACUGGUUCACUUUCACUAAUAUUGAAACAAAUGCAAAUUAAAGAAUAAGAGUAUCAUUUUCACCAAUCAAAUGAGUAAAGGAUUUUUAAAAGAUUGCAUCCAGUGUUUUUAAGGGUAUAGGCAAAACAGGUAAUAGACUCCUAGUGAAAUAUACAAAGCCAUAUCAAUGUGCCGGUUUGUAAAAUCAGUUUAAAAAUUGGUAUACAUUUAACCAGCAAUUCCAAGUCUAGGAAUUUAUCCCAAGGCAAUAGGGAAGUCUGCAACAAUUUAAUAAUGUUCAUCACAACCUUACCUACAACCACAAAAAAAACUAGAAAUGGGCCAAAUAUCAAAAAAGCCUUCUUAUAGGAAUUAAUAGUAUAUUCACAGGCCACUCUGCCACCAUGAAAACCAAUGUUGUAAAAAAAUAUAUAAAGAUGUGAAACGAUAUCUAUGAUACUACAGAGUGGAGGAAGCAUGUAACCAAAGCAGUUGUGAACAAAGAAAUUAAUGUGUGUUUUAUUUUCUUUGUGCUUUUUUCCUGUAUCCCAGUAUUUUACAAUGAGCAUGUAUUAACAGUUUUAAUUAAUUCUUAAAAUUGUGUUUUUAAAUAAUUACACAGAGUCAUUCUAAUUAUUCACUCUAUGUGCAUCCAAUUAUUUUCUCUGGCUAUAAAAAAAAAACUUUACCUAGAAUAUUUGUAUGUCAGGAAACUUUGGUAAUGAAUUUUGAUAGUAUGCCUAACAGUCAAACGGUAAAACGGUACCGAAUCUGCAACAACUAUUUGAAGAAACUUCAUCUCUAAGACCAGUUGGUUUGCUCUCAAUGCUUAUUAACAAACUUGACAUUAGGUCAAAAUCUGUAUGUUCACAAAACUCCAAAUAGCCUAUAUUUUAAUACUAUAGUUUCCAAAGAUAAAUAAAAACAGCCAUUUUAAACUUGAAAUCAUACAAGGGUGUGAUUCUCACUUAAGAAAUACUUAAUGUUCUUAAAUUGGAACAAUCAAACUGGUGAAUGAAAAUUCAGUUUAAAAGAUAUCUAUGAAAUGCUUAAUAGCACAGAUCUUUAAUGAGCUAAGCUGAACCCUGACAUAUUUGUUGUUUACAGGUAUUCAUUAUUUCCCAGAAAUGCUAUGGUAUAGACCCUUGCUACUCAAAAUGUGGCCCUCCAACUGCAACCUCAGCUACACCUGGGUGCUUGCUGGAAAUGCAGAAUCUCAAGCCCAGUUCCAGACCUGCUACAUCAGGAUCUAUAGCUUAACAAAUCCUCGAGUGAUUUGCAUGCACAUUAAAGUUUGAGAGAUGCCAGAGUAGAGAAGCUGUAAGCUAAAGUGUUAUAAGUCAUAGACAAAUAAAGAUUAUAGAUUAAGAUAAAGCAUCCCUAAAUAGUACUGUAAGAGGAUUUACUGCACAAACAAAACUCUCCGACCCUGUAUCUGCUACAGUGGUUCUUUACUUUGGUUGCAUAUUAGAAUUACCCAUGGAGCUUUUAACACAUACACCCUUGACCAAAUGAACACAUAUCUGUAUUCUCCAAAGUUCUCCAGGUUAUUCUAUCAUGCAGCCAGUCUUGAGUACCUCCUGAUCUACUAGCAUCAACAGGGCCUUUAGGAAAGAGAUAAUCAGUCUAACCAUAUCCAGGCAUGACCAAUCACUGCCUCUACUACCUCUUUUAACUCCCCCUGUUCAACACACCUCAUACGGGAUCUUAAGUCCUUCUCUGUCCCUCCAGGUACAACACAGCCCCAUGAAUACGGUGAUUAUCUUAGCACUCAGCAUAUAACUGGUGCUUGAUGAGCAUUUGUUGAAGGAAUGAACCUGUCUAGAUGGAAAAGAAAACAGAGGAAGACUGCCAAGCUAAAUAUAAAGGAGGGCAAGUGGGUGCGUGGGUGAGAGCAAGUGGGUGAGUGGGUGAGAGCAAGUGGGUGAGUGGGUGAGAGUGAUAGGAGAACAUGUGUCUCUGAUCCUUUAAGGCUCAUUGAUGUGAGACUUCAAUGAAGAAUAAGCCUUGUGAGCAAGACUUACUCUGCAAUUAACAAAGUCAACUAUCAUUCUGACAAGGUGACAGGGAAAAAAUCUGGGGAAGAGAGGCUAUAUUUUGGCACAGAAACGCAUUAUGCCAUAAAACAAAUGAAGUAUGAAGAUAUAAGCCUAACCAAAACCAUACGAUCAUCUCAACAGCUGCAGAAAAAGCAUUCCAUAAAAUCUAACAUCUUUUCAUGAUAAAAGCCCUCAACAAACUAGGCAUCAAAGGAACAUACCUCAAAAUAAUAAAAGCCAUAUAGGACAAACCCACAGCCAACAUCAUACUGAAUGGAGAAAAUUUAAAAGAACUUCCCCUAUGAACUGGAACAAGACAAGAAUGCCAACUCCCACUACACUAUUCAACAUAAUAGUAGAAGUCCUAGCCAGAGCAAUUAGGCAAGAUGCUGCAGGAAGUCAGGGACCCCGAACGGAGGGACAGGCUGAAGGCAGAAGAACAUAAAUUGUGAAGAUUUCAUGGACAUGUAUUAGUUCCCCAAAUUAAUACUUUUAUAAUUUCUUAUGCCUGUCUUUACUACAAUCUCUGAACAUAAAUUGUGAAGAUUUCAUGGACAUUUAUCACUUCCCCAAUCAAUACUCUCAUGAUUUCCUAUGCCUGUCUUUACUUUAAUCUCUUAAUCCCAUCAUCUUCGUAAGCUGAGGAUGUAUGUCACCUCAGGACCCUGUGACGAUUGUAUUAACUACACAAAUUGUUUGUAGAGCAUGUGUGUUUGAAAAUUACCGAUGUCAUUUUUCACAGAAUUAGAAAAAACAAUCCUAAAAUUUAUAUGGAACCAAAAAGACCCUGAAUAGUCAAAGCAAUCCUAAGCAAAAAGAACAAAGCUGGAGGGAUAGCAUUAUCUGAAUUCAAAUUAUACUACAAGAUGAUAGUAACCAAAACAGCAUGGUACUGGUACAAAAACAGACAUAUAGAGCAAUAGAAGACAGUAGAGAACCCAGAAAUAAAGCCACAUACCUACAACCAACUGAUCGUAAACAAAGUUGGCAAAAAUAUACAAUGGGGAAAGGAUACCCUAUUCAAUAAGUGGUGCUGAAACAAUAAGUGGUGUUUGAACAAUAUGAAAUCUGGGCACCUUAAGAACAGGAUAACAGCGAUUUUCAGGGAACAAGGGAGAUAACCUUAAAGUCUGGCUGCCUUUCUCUUAUUACCCAAAAUGGGUAAGAGAAAUACCGCUAAAUUCUUUCCCCAGUAAGGAAUAUUAAUAAUUAACAGCGUUGGGAAAAGAAUGCAUUCCUAGGGCGGGGCCUCUAAAAUGGGUGCCCUGGGAGUGUCUGCCUUAUGCAGAUAUAGAUAGGGAUGAAACACACCCUAGUCUCCUGCAGCACCCCCAGGCUUGCUAGGAUUAGGAAAUUCCAGCCUGUCAAAUUCUAGUCAGACCGGUUCUCUGCUCUUGAACCCUGACAUUGUGUGCACAGCAGGACAUGGAAGUUCAUUAGUGAUUCUAGUUUCGCCCUGACCUUCUGCCUUGUGACCUUUUGUUGCCCUUGAAGCAUGUGAUCUCUGUGACCCACACCCUAUUCAUGCACUCCCUCCCCUUUGAAAACUGCUAAUAAAAACUUGCUGGUUUUACAGCUCAGGGGGCAUCAUGGAACCUGCCGACAUGUGAUGUCUCCUCCGGACACCCAGCUUUAAAAUUUCUCUCUUUUGUACUCUUUCCCUUUAUUUCUCAGACCGGCCGACACUUAAGGAAAUAGAAAAGAACCCACGUUGAAUUAUCGGGGGUGGGUUCCCCUGAUAGCAAGAGAAAGAAAUAAAAGGCAUCCAAAUUAGAAAAGAGGAAGUCAAAUUAUCUCUGUUGGCUGAUGACAUGAUCUUAUACCUAGAAAACCCUAAAGACUCCUCCAAAAGACUUCUAGAUUUGAUAAAUUACUUCAGUAAAGUUUCAGGACACAAAAUCAAUGUACAAAAAUCAGCAUUUCUAUACACCAAUAAUGUUCAAGCUGAGAGCCAAAUCAAGAACUCAAUAUCAUUUACAAUAGCCACAAAAAAUAAUAAAACUCCUAGGAAUGCAUUUAACCAAGGAGGUGAAAAAUCUCCACAAGAAUUAUAAAACAUUGAUUAAAAAAACUGUAGAUGACACAAACAAAUGGAAAAGCAUCCCAAGCAUGUGGAUUGGAAGAAUCAAUAUCAUUAAAAUGCCCAUACUAUCCAAAGUAACAUAUAGAUUACAUGCAAUUCCUAUCAAAUUACCGAUGUCAUUUUCACAGAAUUAGAAAAAACAAUCCUAAAAUUCAUAUGGAACCAAAAAGACCCUGAAUAGUCAAAGCAAUCCUAAGCAAAAAGAACAAAGCUGGAGGGAUAGCAUUAUCUGAAUUCAAAUUAUACUACAAGACUAUAGUAACCAAAACAGCAUGGUACUGGUACAAAAACAGACAUAUAGAGCAAUAGAAGAUAGUAGAGAACCCAGAAAUAAAGCCGCUUACCUACAACCAACUGAUCAUAAACAAAGUUGGCAAAAAUAUACGAUGGGGAAAGGAUACCCUAUUCAAUAAGUGGUGCUGGAAAAAUUGGACAGCCAUAUGCAGAAGAAUGAAACUGGACCCCUUUUCUUACCAUAUAAAAAGUUAACUCAAGAUGAAUUAAAGACUUAAAGGUAAAACCUGAAACUAUAAGAAUCCUAGAAGAAAACCUAGGAAAAACUCUUCUGAACAUUGGCCUGGGCAAAGAAUAUAUGGCUAAGCAAUGCAACAAAAACAAAAAUAAACAAAAGGGACUUAAUUAAACUAAAGAGCUUCUGUACAGCAAAGAAAGAAUCAACAGAGUAAACAAACAACUUGCAGAAAGGGAGAAAAUAUUUGCAAAAAUGCAUCCCACAAAGGACUAAUAUCCAGAAUCUAUACAAGGAACUCAAAUAACUCAACAAGAAAAAAGCAAAUAACCCUAUUAAAAAGUGGGCAAAGGACAUGAACAGACAUUUUUCAAAAGAAGAUAUACAAGCAGCCCACAAAAAUACAAAGGAGAAAAUGCUCAGUAUCACUAAUUAUCAGAGAAAUGCAAAUUAAAACCACAAUGAGAUACCAUCUCACACCAGUCAGAAUGACUAGUAUUAAAAAGUCAAAAAACAACAGAUGUUGGCAAGGAUGGGGAGAAAUGGGAACAUGUACACACUGUUAGUGGGAAUGUAAAUUAGUACAACCUCUGUGGAAAACAGUAUGGAGAUUUCUCAAAGAACUAAAAAUCGAACUACCAUUCGACCCAGCAAUCCCACUACUGGGUAUCUACGGGAAGGAAAAGAAUCAUUCUAUCAAAUAAACACCUGCCCUUGUAUGUUUAUCAUAGCACUAUUCACAACAGCAAAGUCAGGGAAUGAAACUAACUGUCCAUCAACAGAUGACUGGAUAAAGAAAAUGUGGUCUAUAUACAGAUGUCUUUUGCAGCAACAGGAAUGGAGCUGAAGACCAUUGUCCUAAGUGAAGUAACUCAGAAACAAAAACUCAAAUACCACACAUUCUCACUUAGAAGUGAGAGCUAAACAAUGGGUACACAUGGACAUACAGAGGGAAAUAACAGACAAUGGGGACUCUCAAAAGCAGGGAGGGAGAAAAGGCUUGAUGAUUGAAAAAUUACCUUUUGUGUACAGUGUUCACUAUUUGGGUAAUGGGUACACUAGGAACCCAAACCUCACCAUUAUGCAAUAUACCCAUGUAAAAAGCAUGCACUUAUACUCCCUGCAUCUAUUAAAAAAAAAAAAAAAAGAUAGAAGCCUGCCCAGCAACCAAAUUCAGCUCUAGCAGUUUCUCCUGACCACGCUAGGAAGCACCCCUGAAAACAUGGCUAAACAUACACUCUAUGACAGAGUUUGGGUCAGAGACAGAGUGCCACCAUGGUAACUGCAUACAUUUCAAGACCCUUGCAUAAAAAGCACAUGCCUCUCUUCAGCCACAAGGAAUAGGAAAGAAAGACAAAGAUGCUUGAAUAAAGUAUUCUCCAAAUACAUUUGAACAAUUCAUCAUCUUAUGAGACCCAAAAUAUUAUCACUGAUAUCCUUUGCCCAGGUGAAAAGAGGAGACAAAAGCCAGAGGUUAUGGAUCUUAACAAAUAUUUCCUGUUCCCUCCCUUUAGUUUCUGGGAAAACUCUUUAUCUCGCAGCACGAAUGAAGAAUAUAACUACAAACAUUUCAGGGUCUCUCAGGCCUUGGAUCUCUGCUCUACAAGCAAACAAGAACAGCCUUUUGAGUUGGGAAAUGCAUGAGCAAAGAAAACAAGGUGGCCUCAAUCCUGUUAUCUGCCAAAACAAAAUAAAGACACUGCGCCAUUUGGUUUUUAUAUUUAUGUGGUUUUCUGGAAUCGUUUCUCCAUUUUUACUUUUGUGUCCCAUGCAGCUGUUAGAGAGCUGCUUCUAUGGACUGUUGGGAGAGCACGCAACACAUUUUCAAGAGUAACCCAUGUUAACCCCGCACUGCUGAAGUUGGCUCCACACUCGGGGGUUAUAUCAACAUUUCCUCCUUCAAGCAGAUCUUCCACACAGGAACUCCUCCCUCCACCUGCUAAGAGGUGACCACACCACAAUCCCCGGGCCAGGCUGGCAAGGCUGCAGGGGUGAGUGUGGCCAGGCCCAGGUUGCUCAGGUGCCCACCCUCCUUCCUCAGCCCUGCCGGGCAUUCUCCACCAAUCGGCACUUUCUGGUUUCUUCCCCACUGUGGUAAAAAUAACUUCCUCUUGAAGUAUCUAAAUCUGUAUGUGAUUUUACACACUUUUUUUUUUUUUGGCACGUUGUCGGAUGAAUUCUGACACUAAAGCAGAAUGAAAUUGCAAGAGAUCUGCAAUCACAUUUCUGUAAAGCUCUGACCAGAUGAGUCAGUUCCACUGUUUUCUCAAAGACUGAGAAAAUACUUUCAGGCAAGACACUGCAUUCUAAGCACCACAGCAGUUCCUUCUCCCCUAAGCUUCUUAGGAACUUGGCAGUGUGGUAGAUGGAGGGAGGCGGAGCAGAAGGCAGGGUGCUGUUUGUUGUGAUCUGCCCAUGGCUUACUGGCUGUGUUCUGAGCAGAGAGGGCGUCUCAGGGGACCCAUCAACCCACAUCGACGUGGCUCCCAGAACUUGGCCGCACGUGCUUGGAGGAGCUGAAGCAGGGUUCCAGCCAGCCCGCUGGGGGCCUUGAAGUAAGGCUCUGUUGCACUCCUGCUAACACCCUCAGAAAAGCGGUGGGAGGAGCAGUCAUUCUCAAAUACCACAGCUUCGAAGAGGAUCCCUUCUGACAGUAACAUACCACUGCACAAAGCAGGCUCACUGAGGGAACUGGAAAACUGUUCAGUUCUGUGGCUUUUACGGGCCAUGUAGACAGAGGAAGGGGGCUAAGAUGUGUAAGGGAAUCAAAACCAUUUCAUUUCUCUUUGUGCUUACUGGCCAGCCGUGUCUCCUCUUCUGUGACUGCUCCUGUACUCUGCCCAUUUAUCUCCACAUGAUUUGAAGAACAGCAGAGAUCUUAGAACGAUCUACUUCAGUGAUUCUCAAGAGAAAAGAAACACUCUCCCCUGGGAGUGCACAGAAAAAUUACCUCAGGGACUUUUUUUUUUUUUUUUUUUUUUUUGAGACAGAGUCUCGCUCUGUCGCCCAGGCUGGAGUACAGUGGUGCGAUCUUGUCUCACUGCAAGCUCCACCUCCCGGGUUCACACCAUUCUCCUGCCUCAGCCUCCCGAGUAGCUGGGGCUACAAGCGCCCACCACCAUGCCCGGCUAAUUUUUUGUAUUUUUAGUACAGACGGGGUUUCACCGUGUUAGCCAGGACGGUCUCGAUCUCCUCACCUUGUGAUCCGUCCGCCUCGGCCUCCCAGGGAGCUGGGAUUACAGGCGUGAACCACCGCGUACGCCGCAUUCUUUUAUUUUUUUAUUUUUAUUUAUUUAUUUAUUUUGGGAUGGAGUCUCGCUCUGUCGCCCGGGCUGGAGUGCAGUGGUGCGAUCUCGGCUCACUGCAAGCUCCGCCUCCUGGGUUCAUGACAUUCUCCUGCCUCAGCCUCCCUAGUAGCUGGGACUACAGGCGCCCGCGACCACGCCCGGCUAAUUUUUUUGUAUUUUUUAGUAGAGACGGGGUUUCACCAUGUUAGCCAGGAUGGUCUCGAUCUCCUGACCUCGUGAUCCACCCACCUCGGCCUCCCAAAGUGCUGGGAUUACAGGCGUGAGCUCAGGGACUUUUUUAAAAGGACUUCCAAUGCCAUGCCCUUUCUCCCUCUCCUGGCCACUGAGAUGUAUUCCCAUAGGGACAGUCAAGACCCUAUGGAAACACUGCUAUGGAUGAGGGUCCUAAGGAACGGAAACAGCUGAGAAUCAUGGAUCUAAUGAAACUCCUUCAUUGUAGAGAUGAAGACACUGAAGCCUUGGAGGCUCACAUGACUUAACACCGACAACUGACUUAUUGUCGGGUCACCCUGCACACCCAGGCCUAGUGCCCCCUCCAUCCAGCCGCAUGGCUCUGCCUGACGGUUCUGUUUAUCCAAUGGGAAGGCAUUCAUGUCAAACAGCCUUUGUGUUAAAGCAGGAAGCUCUGUGCUGGAUGACAAGGUCAGGGUUUUUAAGGUCCCCAAACAAAAUACAACUUUCUACGAAAUAAUGUAAAAUCAGCAUUUGCCUUCAACUGCUCAAGGAACUGGGUGAUUGGCCAUGCCAGAUGGUAUGGCUCUCACUUGCCGCAACACCUACUGGAGGCUAACAGAGCAAGGCAACACAGAGAGGCUGAGCUUGGGAAACAAGCAAGUGAAGACACAAGAUCUGCUUCUGCGGUUCACUGCUCUUGCUCUGACUGUCAAUGAGAGGGAAGUGGGAACUGAGAAAAGAAAGUGGGCGUACUACUGGACGUGGUAGUUUCGUCAUGAAUGGGGGAAGUUCUGGGAGCAGGCACAGUGUAUGCCUGGCAUUGUGAUUAUUUCUGAAAGGAUGUAUCUUAUGGAUCACUAGUGCAAUCCUAGAACAGCUGGCUAUCCCAGAGAGUAAGCGCCAGCAUACUCCCUCCACACAGCUAUUUUUAUUUUGUGAAUGCAGGAACAAAAAAAGUAGUGUGGAUAAAUUCAAAACAGAGGAAAUCAGGCUGUGCAAAAAAUGUGUCAUUUAAAGACUAUCUCCAGGAAGCAGAAGAGAAGAAGCAGGAAGGGGUACAUAUAUGUAAUUAGUGGGAUGGAUGAAUUACCGGAACUUGUCAGGUGUUGAAGAGCCCUUGCCAAAUACUAGUGAAGUAAUUGUGUAUUUCUAGGUUUGAUUGCUUCUUUCAAUUGGAAGUCAGGUUAUCAGUGAAUCUGUAUACUCCCCCAGCUGUGUUCUGAUAUGAGUGUGUGUGUACACUCAUAUGUGUAUGUGUGCUAAAUGAAGAGGGAGUUAAAGGGAAGCAAAGAACAAGCUGAGAAAAUUGGCAAUUGUUGAACUUAAAUGUCAGGCCUUGGGUUAGAGAAGUAUCCUGUAAAACAGCAAUUAUUAAUCCUAUUGUAUACAUCAAAACAUCAGAGGUUCAGAGAAGUUAAUAAAAUUAUUCAAGCUGUCCCAGCUAA